CUCGGUCAAAUAUAAAAGAAACGACAAAACACGUAAUAAUUAACAAUCAUAAUUAAAUAAGCUAGUACACAAGGUAGCUACAAAACCCUAUUUCAAUAACUCCUAAUUCAAGUUCCGACUAAGAUAAACGACCAUGGAAUACAACAUUAAAUAACACUCUACUUGAAAAAGUGCUAAGCCUUGGCUUUUCCAGCUUGAAGAGAUUGAAUCCUCCACUACACCUUCAAUAUCUAAAGGAUGCAAAACCAAAUGAUUAGAUAAACCAACAAACUUGGUAAACAAUAGAGAUGUUAAAAAUAAAAAAUAUAUAUAGCCAUUAAGGCUCAAAAAAAAAACAAACAAUUAUGUGCAGCUUUAGCUGCAGGUUGAACUAUACUAACAAACAAUCUCAAUCAUAGCUCUUCCAUGUGUCACAAAUAGGCAUUCUUUCUAAUGAUUGUCUAAACUAUUUAAUUUUUUAACAAGGAACAUUAACAACUAAUGCUAAGAAAAUACGUAAUUUAUGCAUGGAACGUGUCACAGUCAACAAUUCAAUUGCAUGACUAACCAGGAAAAUAUGAUACACAAACACAAAUUACAGAUAAUAACCGAAAAUGGACUUUAGAAGUUUUAAAAUUGAUAACUAACACAUGGGAACUUCAUAAUGUAAGUAAUAAAUAUAACUCCCAAGCUGUCAUAAGCCACAAUCCAAGAAACAUGUAUCCGCACAAAACUGAGAACAUAUAGAUAAACCAUCUGCAGCACAAUAAAUGGUUACAAGUUACAUCCAGUACGUAACAUCAGUUCUGAUGAAGUAAACAAAUGAGAAAUUUAACAUUGAAAUAGGCACCAUCCAUCUAUGUCCUAACACAAACAAAUAAGAAUAUCCCACCCCAUGCAGGUGACUCUUACCUUCAAAUAAGAAUAUUUCCAUUUGGUAAUUCUUAUAUUAAUUUUCUUUUAUGUCAUUUAAUAUUGUUUUUUUAUAUCUUUACAAGCUGUGCCGUUAUAUUGUUGUUAACAUUUAAAAAUUGCUUCCUGUUUCAUGGUUAAGAAAUGAAAGCAUCUAGAUAUCGAACCACAGAAAAAGAUCGGUGAAGCUAAUAAAUAUAUUAACCAUGUUAGCAGGCAGUAGAAAAGUAUCAAAGAAAACUGCAUUAAACAAAAUACCAGACUCUUUAUCUAAUUAUAAAAUGUCUAGAGCAUAAAUCACUCAAAAUUAGCAACAUUAACCUAUAUUUAUUUGCUGGAAAAGUAGUGUGAAGGAUCUAAAAGCAACUUAUAUUAACUAGGAAGAAACAAGUUGAAACUUCAAGGUUUUAAAGUUCAGAGACAAAAGCAUAACAGACCAUAAACAAAUGAAAGAAAUAUCACUCAUUUGAGUUGUGCCUGUGAAUUUAUGGAAUUCAACAAGGAAGUUUACUAUUAGUUGUUAUAGUAAUUAGGGAUUAGUCAUAAAAUAUAGUUUAAUUUUGGUUCUUGGAAAAACCCCACAUGAAAAAACAAUGUUGUGGAGAGUAAUGAUCUGCGUAAGUGAGAGUUUUUAUGGCAGAAUCAAACAACCCUAAGUAUCAAAAUUGGUGCUGAACAGCAAAUUAAUUGAAAAGUGAGAGGGCUUUAAAGAAAAAUAUUAUUUACCUAGAGCUUGCAAAUUCAAAGAGUUUGCCUCUAGGAGAGAAGAUGAUUAAAGCAACUUCAGCAUCACAAAGAACUGAUAGUUUAAUUUCAGUUUUCCCUCUUUUUAUUUUUGCAUGUUUCCAGUUUUCCCGUUUCCAGUUUUCCCGCACUUAAACACUUCAAUUUACAACAUUUAAACACUUCAAUUUACAGAUCCACCAACAAUAAAGUAGCAUCAGGAUACAGAUCCACCACAUUUUAGCACCAUUUGCAAAACUAUCAUAAGUUUAUAUGCUCAUAGCCGAAAACAUAUAAUAAAACCAAUAAAGCUAAAAUAUUAGAGACUGACCUUCUUUUCCUUUUCCAAAAUUUCUUUUAUGGGACAAGGUAGUGCUUCCUCUUUGCUUGUCGUUGAACAGUUUUACUAGCAGAUUUCUACUCUAUCUGUGGAAACUUAAUCUUUUUCAUAACAUCAGUCUUCCCCUCAGAAAUUGACAUAAACAGUAUCAUUAAGCAUUUCCACAAUGAAUUUCAAAAGAUGAAAGAAAAUAUCUAUGUACAUAUAAAACAUGACAUAAACAUUUUCAAACAAUGAUCGGAGUCAUAUAUGAAAUUAUCUGUAGAUCAUUAAGACAUUAGGUAAACAAAGUUGACUAAUGUUGCUGUCUUUUCUCUGAAGAAAUUAUUGGAUUUAAACAUGAAUAACAUCCAAUUAUAUAUACAUAGAUAUUUUGCACUCUCGAAAGUCCUAUUUCUUUAUUUCUUGCCAAUAAUUCCUUCUUCCACAAACAAUAAGUAAUCAUUUUCAUUCUUAAAGGAGAAAUCUUUUCAUGUACAUCAAAUAAUUCCUUCUUCCAAUUAUAUAUACAUUUAUAAAGCAUCUAAACUAAGUGAUUAUCCUGAAUCAUGGUACAACAGAGCACCAAAGUUACUCAACAGUUAACUACUAAAAAUCUAUUAAUAACACCAAAAAGACUUACCUGCGAAGAACAUUUAUAAAGAUUUUUUUCAAUAAAUCAUGUACACAUCAACUCAAGAUGAAGAAAAAUAGAAAAUAUUAGUCCAAUGUUGUAACUGAAAAUUGCAUAUCCUUGUACAGCUUAAUGUGCUUGUUAACAUGAGAAAUACACAAAAAAACAAACAAAUAGGUCUGUCUAUUUGUUUUGAAAAGAAAUACACAAAAUAUUUGAUAUAAUCUGCUCAAAAGAUAUUAAUCAUGUUACCUUUCAACCCCAAACAGCUUGAAAGGGUAAAGCAAAAAAAAAAUAGAACCCCAUUAAUUCGAGCCUAUGAACUAGUAUGUAACUAAGUACAAAUACUGUGUAUAAGGCACAUGUACAUAGCACAUGUGCAUAAAACAACUUAAACCAGGUUAUUUGCAAGAAAAUACCAUAUUUUACUUUGUUUCAUUCAAUGAUAUUCAGCAUAUAUAUUGACAUUCGGAGACAAAUACCCAUGUUACUCCAACUCUUCAUUUUCUGAAGUACCUGUGUCCGGCAUCCAUAUAUAGAUAUGUUUCGGACAUAAGAAUUGGGCGGCAAUCCUCCAAAUGUAUAGGAAAAUAUAAAUAAAAUUGAGCAUACCCGUGUUAGACAUAUACCCCACCCAACAGUCACCAUUGAGUCUGAGUAACAUAAGUCUUAACCACAAUGCAAACUUAAAAGUGCCAGUUUCUUUUGCAAUGCAACCAGCAUUUUUCAUUGAUCCACAUGGAGGGCUCAGCAAAACUACGGAACAUGCUCAAGGGUAUGUAAAUCAUGUAUAUCACAUGUAUGAUCGAAGAAAUAGUUAAGUAUCAUCAUAUAUGUUUGGAAAUAUUACAGUGCUAUCUACCUUAAUUUCAUAACCUCUGAGCCGUCUCAUUGUCAAAUCUUGAGCAGGAAUCUGCAAACAGAAAAAUCACUAAGAUAAAAUCAAUCUCGCAAAAACAAUGUCCUUGAAUGUAGGAACUACCUCAGCAAGAUAUCAUAUGUUUCCAACAAAGACAGAGAACCUACUUAUUAAAGCCAAAUAGACAAUAAACAAACAAACAAAUAGAUUAAGCUGUAAACAAAUAGACAGACACAUUAACCUACUUAUUAAAGCCAAAUAGACAAUAAACAAACAAAUAGAUAGAGAACCUACUUAUUAAAGCCAUAUAAACCCCGUGUUGCGACAUACUUUGGCAGGCCACCCUGUCAAACAAAUAGAUAGUAUAUCGAUAUUCUUCAUACCAAAGCAUUAUUGCUCCUCUAAACUCAAAUUGAAACAUUGUGGGGGGAAAACAUUAAGAUCAUACACACACAGACACCUACAAAAGCUAACAUAUAUAAUAUAACAUUUCAAAAUAAGCAGGUAGAAAUAAUUCUAUAGAUGGGAAGAGAUCACUCACCUGGAAACUUCCCAUCAUAUAUGCUUUCCCCACUAGUUCCUAGAAAAAGUACAGUUAAAAUAUCAAUGUGCUUUUCAAGAGAAACUUUAACCAGCAGUCACAUAGAUGGCAACCCUUGAAGAGAUCUUAUCUAAAGUAAAAUUAAUUAACAGCUACAAAAAGUUAAAAUAAAAGUCCUCUU
rnacentral:lncRNA from 1 species